GGUACUCCCCACCAGGCUUUCAGAACUGAAGAAGCCUCUUGGAUGAGAGGUGAAACGUUUUCGACUCACACGAGGUUAGUCCAGUUGCCAUAACUUAUGCUUGCUUGAGUCUUUGACAUCCUUUUGGCAUUUAAUUCUGUAUUCAUUCGUAUCAGGUCGGGAUUAUUUCUGGUGAGAAUUUCCAAAGAAGUUUCUUAGAGUGGACAUAUUGCCGUCAUGAAAUUGAAAAACUGCUUGGAGAUGACCAUUUCUCAUGUCCUGCCUGUGGAGAUGAUAUGGUUGCACUGAGCCUUGAUGGCAACAGAAAACUGUAUGGCUUCUGUAUGGUAAAGGGACUGAUGAAUGUCCAUACUUUCAUGGGACCUUCAUCGCCAAAGACACAGAUGUAGAGGAAUUUGUGAAAACAGUUCAAGAGAAAAUAAAAUCUGGAUCUGCACGCCCAUCCUAUGGCAAGUCAAACUUCAAAGCAGCCAGGGAGGUUGCUAGAAAGUCAGAGCCCAGACUGAAUGAAGAGGGCAUGAUGGCAUCAGUCUGCAGACACUGCAUUCUAUUUUUGUGGUGGAAUGGAGUGGUUGCAACCAGGAAGGAGCAGGUAUAUUAUGAAUGAUUUUUUUUCCAGUAAGUCAGGUUUGUUUAUUUCUUUUUUAUUCCUUUUUUUUUGAAGGUGGAGGGGGCGGGGGAUGUAUUAGAGCACUGUAUAAAUGAAAACAUUUGUCUUAAAUUGCUCUAAGUUUGACAGUUGGAGAGGAAGUGGAGGCUGUCAAUGCAUACCUCUCUCGUGUUGCAAUAACCACAAAGUACAUGUCCAAAGCAAGACGCACUGACAUGAUAACAAUUCAUGCUCAUGGAUGGAAUUUGAAGAAGAAGCAGAUCUUGCAUCGAUACCUGUCUCAGAGAUAUGUGAAGACUAAGAAGAGGACAGUUGAAGUGGAGAAGGAUGUAGAGAACCUGGCAACAACACUGCAGACAACAGAAGGGGGAAUAAAGCAGUGAGUGAAGGACGUUGAGGAGUGGGCUGCAUCAAGUCCUAAGUCCACCAACAGCCAGGACCAACAGGGACUGCAGCCGGUUAUGGAGGGGCUUGUCCUUAAAAUUAAACAAUGAAAAAUAGAACUGUACAGAGCCAUAGAUAAUAAUAAAGACCACAAGCCUAAACGGGAGCUUAUUGCCGAGGAAAAGCAGAAACUGGAGGAGGCUAUUGCAGUUUACAACAACCUUGUGCCAGAAACCGAGGCUGUUGAUACAGCAGAUGCAGUUUUAAGUCGAAACUUUCCUAUUUGGCCAUGGGAUUCUGGGUGUCCAUUUACCACGUCCUUGGAGGCAUAUGAGGGACUGAAGGUCAAACUUGAGAAAAAAACUCCAGGAGGUGAAGAAAAACAUGGAAGAGGCAUUUGGCACAUACAAGUUAGAACACAAGAUGCAGGGUGUAUGUGCAUGCGUCAUAUCCAACACUUUACUGUACACAAGAUGAAAGAUAAUUUUUAUGUAUUCCAUUAAUGCAGUUACUGUAAUAUUUACCUCAGCAUUCCUUAAUAUUAUUGGAAAUUAUACUAUACAGAUUUGUCUAUUGUCAAACUGUCAUGGGCAGUGGUGAACCCAGGCAGAGAACACACAGACUCACAGCUGGAUCAGGCAGAAAUUAAUUUUAUUUUGCUACAAAUUAGGUAUGCCAAAAGACCUAAGGGGGAGUGAGUGACUGAAACUAAAGACUAGAUAAACGUGAAACUAAAGCCAGGAAAAACUCAGGAACUCACUACGGACUGGAAGUGGGGCAGACAGGCUACUGGAGACCUGCGGUCCAGGUUAGUUCCCCGCUGGGGUGGGCGAGCGACAGAGAGUGGUUGUGGCAUGCUGGGAGAUCCAGAGGCUGGGGCAGCGGGGACGGGCUGAGGCAGGCAGGGAUGAGACACCUCCUCCUCCACGGGUGAACGCUGGUUCAGAGUUUGGUGGUGGAGAGGAGUGACAGGGGAGCCCGGGCAGCGUGACCAGCGGAGACUGCAGGAACAGGAGAAAAAGAUUAGUUCACAGUUUGCAGGUGAACACAAACAAAACAUGCUGAGGCCAACCUAACAGCUUGGAGCUGAAGCAACUAUCUGGCAGGGUAUUGAGUGUGGAGCUGGCUUUUAUGGAGGGAGAUGGAGAACAGGUGUGCUGCAUCACGCCUGCCCAGAGUUCUGAUGACGGUGAUGGGUUAUUGCAGCCAGCUGCUGCAGGGAGUGAGUGGAGGACAGGUGAGGAGGAGGUGAUCAGGAGGGAGCUGAGGCAGGGACUGAGGAGGGAGCCUUGACACAAACAUUAUACACUCAAAGAAACAUAUUUACUUAACUUAGUUAUGCCAACCGAUCCCACGAAAUUAGGUUGAAUAAAUAGGAAGAAGUCUAGUAAACUAAUUAUUACGACAUGCUUUUAAGUAAA
ensembl:lncRNA